rnacentral:lncRNA from 1 species
GUGCCUUCUACUUCAAGAAUUCUAUGAGCUUGCUAUUUGGGAAACCUCCAACAAAUCAGCCAUAUUAAAGCUUUCAAGUAACCAAAACUACAUCCAAUGAAUGAGGAAGCAUCUGCUAAGCAACAAAGGAACCUUGGACCUGACCUGGGACAGACUUGCACCAAGACUUUGGAAGGGGCUUUUGGAUGAGAGAAACAGGGAAGCAAGAAAGCAGGAAAAGGAGGAAGUAGAGGCCAAAUCAAUGAGGAGUUGCCAUCCAGCUUCCAGGAACAGCGGUGAAUCCAUGGGAAGGUGCUGUCCACUCAAGAUCUAAACUCCAGGUUUGAAAAGAAAGCCAUGUCUCUGUGAAUUGAGGGGGAGUCAGCUGCUUGGAAGGGAAAGUCAUUCUGAUAAAGGGAGGGAAGGUGAGUGGUACCACUCUCCCUCAAGGUAUGAGUGAUGAUGGUUAACCCCACUUUGCUCACCAACUCCAUUCUGAGUUUAUAUAAUAAUGCGGAUAUUGAGGUCCAGAGAAAUGAAAUAACAUGCCCAGAGUUGGUAAGUGAUGGAGGUGUGAGAUAAGAAUCCAGAUCUUCUAGCUACAAACCCCUUCUCUUCUCCCUGUACUACAUUGUCUCAUACUUCAUAGUUACUUUGCAUAGAUUUCAUAUCUACUUAAAUGUGCAUGUGUUGUUUCCUUCAAGAAAAUAUAAACUUUUUAAUAAUAAUACCCUUUAUUAAUAAUGAUUAGCAUUUAUAUAGUGCUUUAAGAUUUGCAAAGCACUUUAUCAACAUUAUCUCAUUUGAUCCUCACAAGCCUGUGAAGUACAGGUGCUGUUAUUAUCUCCAUUGUAUAAACAAAGAAACUAAGGCAGACAGAGAAUAAUUGAAUUACCUAGGGUCACACAGCUAACAAAUAUUCAAGGCUAAAUCUGAACUUGUCUGCCUAACUCUAAGCCCACUACACCACCUGUCUACUAUUGAAGCAUCAUAGCCCCAGGGCCUGGAACAGUGCCUGGUACAUAGCAAACACUUAACAAAUACUUUUUGGUCAACUGGUUGGGAAAAUAAUAAGUUUGGAAGACUGUCCUUGGGGACACUAGGCUGAUGACAGACUGUAAGACAGUUAUCUUGACUGUUUAUAGAUUCAGGUAUGUUCCUUUUUCAUUUUUUGAGCUCGGGUUAAGUAAAGUCUGUCCUAUAUUUUAAAGGGAUCAUGAAGGGGCAGGCAUGACUGAAAUGAUGCAACAGCAACAAAUGUGCUUUUAUAUUUACUGUUUGCUUAAUAAGGACUGUGCAAAACAAUGGGAAUACAAAGAAAGGCCCCUCCCUCA